rnacentral:lncRNA from 1 species
CUUCGUUGUUGCGAAUCGCGAACGUGUUCUGUGACAGAAGUUUGGCAAAGCGGACCAAGCGAAGCUGUUACCACUUCAGUACCACUGGGUCUAGUUGGUAUGGCAUCGUUCGGAUUACUGCGCUGUUUGUUCACUCAAAGGACAAACUAAAAGAAGCGGACGCGCAUGUGCGUACAUGUGUGUCAUAUUCAUUCAUUUUGUCCUUUGUGUGAACAGUACAGCGCAGUAAACAGAAUGCUGUUUUCAGUCUUCAUUUCUGUCGCUGUGUCGGAGAAAUAGAGUGACUGUCUUUGAGGCUUCGACGAGUUCGACUACAGGCCCGUGAAAUUCGCUGGCGGACGGACGGGUGUGCGCUUUAUGUGGUGUGCCCGCGGUAGCGCUGCCAUGCAGCUUUGACCAAAAUCCAACGUGGGCGCAUGCCUCCUGCGCCUGUGCGAGCUAUCGCUCUAUUCAAGGCAUGCUGACUCACGUGGACGCGAGCGGCCAACUACACUUCAGAUCUGACGCCGUGCAGUUGCUCCAGAACGUUCACGUGUAACAAUUCUGCGACAGGUGGAAUGCGCCUACGGCAUCCACGAAGCCCUCAGCGUCGACCUGCAUCACUAACUUGCGGACUGCAUUACCCUUAAAGAUAACAGUGCUGGUUAUUACCUGGUUGUUUCGUGACGUCCAGAAGACAAUCGAAAAGAAGGUGACAACGUGCCCAAGUACUCGAGCGGUGCUCUAUCUUAGGCUGGCAACUACGCACUUAAUGCUUGUGGAAGGUGCUUGGUCCGACAGUAGAUGGCGGGCGCUGCAGAAGAGGGCGUUUUGUCCCGCAGAGAUGCACCUUUCUUGAUGACACCUCUCCAUACUGUGUCGGCCUCUUCAAGGUGGCCCUCUACCAGACCAGGGCAUCAUCCUCCGUGAGGGCUACUCCUAUCAUAGCUUCUGAACUGACCUGAAGACGGAUCAAGGGACUCUACCUCUCUGUCAACUACCGAAGAUGGCAGGUCACAACAGGGACUCCACUGCCGCUAUCCUCUCUGUUACUACGAAGCAGAAACGCUGCUUGAAAUGGAAAAUCACGUCAAGAUCCACAAAGACGAGCGUACAUUUCAAUGUGA